AUUGAACGCUGGCGGCAGGCCUAACACAUGCAAGUCGAGCGGAUGAAGGGAGCUUGCUCCUGGAUUCAGCGGCGGACGGGUGAGUAAUGCCUAGGAAUCUGCCUGGUAGUGGGGGAUAACGUCCGGAAACGGGCGCUAAUACCGCAUACGUCCUGAGGGAGAAAGUGGGGGAUCUUCGGACCUCACGCUAUCAGAUGAGCCUAGGUCGGAUUAGCUAGUUGGUGGGGUAAAGGCCUACCAAGGCGACGAUCCGUAACUGGUCUGAGGGGAUGAUCAGUCACACUGGAACUGAGACACGGUCCAGACUCCUACGGGAGGCAGCAGUGGGGAAUAUUGGACAAUGGGCGAAAGCCUGAUCCAGCCAUGCCGCGUGUGUGAAGAAGGUCUUCGGAUUGUAAAGCACUUUAAGUUGGGAGGAAGGGCAGUAAGUUAAUACCUUGCUGUUUUGACGUUACCGACAGAAUAAGCACCGGCUAACUUCGUG
rnacentral:rRNA from 1 species